AAAACAUAACCUUUAGCUAGACAAAUAUUAAAGGCAACGCCUGCCCAGUGAACAAUUAAACGGCCGCGGUACCCUAACCGUGCAAAGGUAGCGUAAUCACUUGUCUAUUAAUUGUAGACCAGUAUGAAAGGCAAAAUGAGGGCCUAACUGUCUCUUACAAUAAAUCAAUUAAACUGAUCUCCUAGUAAAAAAGCUAGGAUGUACACAUAAGACCAGAAGACCCUGUGAAGCUUAAACUAAACUAUUAAACCCUAUAAUAUAUACUUUCGGUUGGGGCGACCUUGGAAAAAAAAAGAACUUCCAAACUAUAACUACGCUUAUACACAGGCCCACAAGCCUAUAACAGACCCAGUACAACUGAUAAUUGAACCAAGUUACUCCAGGGAUAACAGCGCCAUCUUCUUCAAGAGUCCAUAUCAAAAAGAAGGUUUACGACCUCGAUGUUGGAUCAGGACAUCCUAAUGGUGCAACCGCUAUUAAGGGUUCGUUUGUUCAACGAUUAACAGUCCUACGUGA
rnacentral:rRNA from 1 species